UAAUAGUGUAUAUUAAAGUUGUUGCAGUUAAAAAGCUCGUAGUUGAAUGUUGGUGUCGAACGAGCGGUCAGCUUCGGCUGUACUGCUCUCUCGACUCCUUCCUUCUGUGGACUACGUCGCACUUUACUGUGUGGCGCUAGGACGCAGAUCGCUUACUGUGAAAAAAUUAGAGUGUUCAAAGCAGGCCGUACGCUUGAAUACAUUAGCAUGGAAUAAUGGAAUAGGACGUCGGGCCUAUUUUGUUGGUUCUAGGACCGUCGUAAUGAUUAAUAGGGACAGUUGGGGCCGUUUAUAUUCCGUAGUCAGAGGUGAAAUUCUUGGAUUUACGGAAGAUAAACUACUGCGAAAGCAUUCGGCAAGGAUGUUUUCGUUAA
rnacentral:rRNA from 1 species